ACUCUUUUUUUUUUUUUUUUUUGCCUGAUGCCCUAAGUCGUGUUCAAGGACACCGUCCAAGAAACAAUCACUUCGCUCAUGGGGGACAAGAAUAUUUGGACAGAGAGACAGCUUGCAAACUAGGCACUUCCCUAUGCUUGAAGCUCAGUAACAGCUCCUGGACCACAUGUACGGAACACAGGGAUAAAAUGGCGGCUACCAGGACGGCGGGCGCUGCCCAAGGUCACGAGACCAAGUGACUUCCGGUUUCGUCGCCCCACGCCCCCAAGGCUCUCGAGUCGCACUUCCUGGGCUCCGGCCGACCUCGCUGAGGGAUUUUGCGGGUCUCAGGGCGCCGAGGCUGCUGAGACCUGAGAGCGGCCGCGAGCACAUGGAAGGGACCCCGCCAGGGGCGGCGCCCUCCUCGGCGCUGGCCGCCGUGCUCAAGCACAGCUCAGCGUUGCCGCCCGAGAGCGCCCAGGUCCAAGGCUACGACUUCAACCGCGGCGUAGAUUACCAUGCGCUUCUGGACGCCUACCGCACCACCGGCUUCCAGGCUACCAACUUCGGGCGCGCGGUGCAGCAAGUCAACGCCAUGAUUGAGAAAAAACUGGAGCCACUGGCUGUAGAUGAAGAUCAUCACGCAGACCUGACUCAGAGCCGCCGCCCACUUACAGGCUGCACCAUUUUCUUGGGCUAUACUUCCAACCUCAUCAGUUCAGGCAUCCGGGAGACCAUUCGAUACCUCGUGCAGCACAACAUGGUGGAUGUAUUGGUGACCACUGCUGGAGGUGUGGAAGAAGAUCUCAUCAAAUGCCUGGCGCCCACAUACCUUGGCGAGUUCAGCCUCAGGGGGAAGGAGCUCCGGGAGAGUGGGAUCAACAGGAUUGGAAACCUGCUGGUGCCGAAUGACAAUUACUGCAAGUUUGAGGACUGGCUCAUGCCCAUUCUGGACCAGAUGGUGCUGGAGCAGAACACAGAGGGUGUGAAGUGGACACCUUCCAAGAUGAUCUCCCGGCUUGGGAAGGAGAUCAACAACCCAGACUCUGUGUAUUAUUGGGCCCAUAAGAACCACAUCCCUGUGCUGAGUCCAGCACUCACAGAUGGCUCACUGGGUGACAUGAUCUUCUUCCAUUCCUAUAAAAACCCAGGCUUGGUCCUGGACAUUGUUGAAGACCUGCGACUCAUCAACACGCAGGCCAUUUUCGCCAAGCGCUCUGGGAUGAUCAUCCUGGGUGGAGGUGUGGUCAAGCACCACAUUGCCAACGCUAACCUCAUGCUCUCUAGGCCUUCCUCUGCAUCAUACCCAGCCUUCUACGGCUUCUGACGAGGGCUUCCUCUACCCACAGAGGAAUGGAGCAGACUACGCUGUUUAUAUCAACACAGCCCAGGAGUUUGAUGGCUCAGACUCCGGAGCCCGGCCAGAUGAGGCUGUCUCUUGGGGCAAGAUCCGGAUGGACGCACAGCCAGUAAAGGUCUAUGCUGAUGCUUCUCUGGUUUUCCCCUUGCUGGUGGCUGAGACAUUCGCCCAAAAGGCAGAUGCCUUCAGAGCUGAGAAGAAUGAAGACUAAGAAGAUUGGUAAAGACUGAGGCUUUUUGCCACACCUUUAUUUAUUACUUUACAUGCCAGCCCCUCCCUAGGCCCACUCCUUGGUCAGCAGCAUCUCUAGAAUAAAUGGCCCUUUGGUUGGGUUUUCUGA